GCUGCUCGUAAUAAUCACACACCUCUUCGUGGUGAGCAGCAGGCAACGGUCUAAGGAUCGGCGAAGAUGUGAAG
rnacentral:ribozyme from 12 species